AAAGGAGUCCAACGCAAUCUUCAUGUAGGCUGAAGCAGGAAAUGGAGAAAAGCGCUUAUUCAAAGAAAAGCUCUGGAAAAAUGGGUUCGAAAACGAGUCGAGAACACACCGGAUUGAAGCUCUGGUUGCAAACAGUGAGGAUGAUGAAUUGAAGUGGUGCAGAGUUUGGUUGGGGAUUUUGAAGGGAGAGUGAAGAGUGUGCAAGAUGAACUGUGGCAGUGCAAAUGGUGAAAAGAGCGUCAAAAAAAAUCUUGCAGUAAAUUUCAGGUUGUGAGCAUGUGCUGGUGGAUUUGUAUUGAAAUGCAUUGCUUGGCUAGGAUGCUUUGGAGCUGUUUUGAUGGAGCUUGAAUUUGGACAUGGUUUUGGACUGCUCAUGGAAUGCUAGAACAUGCUAAUCAUAUGGAAUUGCUUGGAACACCAUGGUUAUGGGAUGGAAAGUGAAGUUUGGUCAUGUUGUAGUUUGUAGUAGUUAUUUGAAAUGUUGUAAUGAUCUAUGUAAUUGGAAAUAUAUGGUUGCAAUUAUGUAAUUUGAAAAUGAAUUUAUGUAAUUCAUGGUUUUUAUACAUUGAAUAAAAAAAAGAAAUUUGGAAA